rnacentral:tRNA from 1 species
GGCUUUAUAGUCAAGAAAUGACAUUAGACUGCAAUUCUAAAGGAGUAGGGAAUAAAAUGCUACUAAGGCUU